UCUUCGGUGGUGCAGUGGUAGCGCUCUUGAAUUUAGUUUUUGUCCCCCAAGUUCGAAUCCUGUCUGGGAAA